rnacentral:SRP_RNA from 1 species
GCCGGGUGUGGUGGCUCAUGCCCGUAAUCCUAGCACUUUGGGAGGCUGAGGCAGGAGGUUUGCUUGAGCUCAGGAGUUCUAGACCAGCCUGGGUUAUAUAGUGAGACCCUGUCUCUA